ensembl:lncRNA
ACUGGACUAAUUAUGAUUCCCUACAUAGAGUAUUCCAAUUUGUCUCUUUUUGCCUUUGUACAGGCUGUCCUCGAAGAUGUUCAACUGACGUCUAUUCUCUAGAAUUACUUCCUUCAAAACUCAGCUCCACUGCUACUUCCUGCAUGAAGUCUUUUCUGAUAUAUUCAGGUGUCAGCAUCCUUACCUUCCCUCAGUUAUUCUGCAUAGCACCUGAAGAGGAUAGAAUUAGGUCAAAGGAGAGUCAUUUAAUGAAAAUUAAGCACCCCCUCUUCCCUAAUCCUGGCCACAUUUAACCACUUUAACAGAAGCUCUCCAUCUCCCUCUUUUCCGAAAUUAUGCCUGCCUCAAGA